ACAACAACAACAACCCAGCAUUUAGAAAACACACAUGCUACACAAUCCUAUUUUUCCCAACUUGAAAUCUGUUUCCACGCCAGGACACAGACUGGGAGCUGCUGCUAACGUCUCUCACAAUGUCAGCCCCUCUGGAAUUCCUGACCAGGCUUCUCUUCCCCGUCAUCCAUUCCAGGAAUUCACAAACUUCUUCUGUGAAGACGUAAAUAUUAGGGAGUAUUUUCAGUUUUGUGGGCCAAGAGGCAAAGCUGAGGAAUAGCACAUCAGUGCUUAUGUAACAAGACAGAAAACACAUUUCCGUGUACUUUUUACUGGCAGGGUUCAGAACUUCAUUGAUGAGCACUGAAAUUUGAACCUUGUAUGAUUUUCACAUGUCACAAAAUAUCAUUCUUCUUAUUUUCUUUCCAUCAACUUUUUAAAAGUGUGAAAGCUGAUCACACGCAACAAGGCAGUGGGUGGAACUGGGAGCAGCCUGUAGUUUGGCCAGCUGUGACCUCCCACACAGCACCAAGAAGUCACAUCUCCUGGAGUCCAGUUCCUAGAGCAUCUGUGCUGAAGGACUGUUCAGAGACUCUGCUUGCCCUUCCAGAAAAAACAAGGAAGAGAGGAGGGAACACACACCCACACGGAUCAGCUGCCUCCGUGUUACAAAAGCAAUUCUUAUCAGCAUUAAAGUUGCAACAGCCACGCAGAAGACACUGGGAGGUUUUCCUUGUACAAGAACAAAACUGAGAGAUGAAAAUACCGUCGCAAGCAUAAAGAAAGUUAUUAUGAAAUCUGCUCGAGCCUCAUGUUUCUCUAGUGAUUCAAGAUAAUCGCAUUAGUGGCUUCAAACAUUAUACAGUGACAUCAUUCCACAAGAUAGCUCCCAGAGGUUGGAUAUCAGAGCAGGGAAUUACCAUCUGUCACAUGUCUGUGACACACCUGACGGUCUGACCUGAUUUGUUACCACCAGGAGCUCGUGUGGGUCUCUCCAACUGUGGUCACCUUUCUUGCUUAACGAUCCUGUCUGACUAUGAAGGACCCCCGUGGAACCCAUAACCUCUCAUUGGAAUAAGGGAUGGGGAACUCCUUACGACCCAAGGUCAAGUGAGCGAGGUGUUGACCUUCUCAUUGCCCAGGGUCUGUCAUUCACAGAGCAAGUGGGAAAACCUCCCCGCAUCUCACAGACUGGUUUGAGCCUCACUAGACUGCAGGUGAAGUACUGCUAUUCAGG
rnacentral:lncRNA from 1 species